GCGGCCCCGGUGCCUCGCUGUGCUCCGCCGCCGCGCCGCCACUCUCAUGCUGUCCCCAUCGCCAGCUUUGUCCCCCGCCUUAGUAAUUCGCGCAUCCUUAUUCAGAUUUGGUGACGUGGGGGCCCGCGUCGGGCGGGAGGCGGCCAAUGGCAGCGCAGUGGCCAUGGUAACCUCUUAAUUUAUAGCAUAUCUAAAUUGGCUCCAGCCUUGUGCUUGGCACAGAGGGAAAAAAACAACGCGCCUCUAUUGUUGAGGGUGGCUUGUACCUGCGCCGCCAAUUUCAGGUGCGGCGGAGCUGCGACAACCGGCGGCGGCGAGGGACACCGGGACACCGGGCUUCGGAGCUGGGGUGGUCCUCCCGUUUCUCCCUUCCCCGCGGCCGCCCCUCUAUAUCCUCGCUCUUUCUCCGCAUCGGGGAGGAAGGACCACAGCGGCCGGGCUGAAAGAAUCUCAGUAGCGGCCAAAAAAGAAACCUCAAAUCCGCAGGAAAAGGGCAUCGUCGGGCAGGGGAAGGAGGACUGGUGAGUCUGGGGAGAGAGAACCGAAGAGAGGAAAUGCGGAGACCGCCAACAAAAUAAAUGAAAAGAGAGGAGGAGAGAAAAGAGAAAAAAGAGAAAAAGCAAGAGGGAAAAUAAAACGAAAAAUACAGAAACCAACCAAACAAACAAAUAAACAAAACAAAAACAAAAACAAAAACAACAGCCGCAGAAGGAAACAGCAGACAAAAAAAAAAAAAAAAAUAGAGAGAGAAAGAGGAGGAAAUAAUAUCAAAAAAAAAAUACCCCAAAAAAUCGAGGGGAAUGAGGAAAAAAAUAAAUAACUAAACUAAACGAAAAAGGGAGGAAAAAGAAAGGAAAGAAUGAAGAUAAAAGAAAAAGAAAAUAAAAGAAAUGAAGAUAAAAGAAAAAGAAAAGGAAGCAAAGGAAGAUAGGGGAAAAGGACGAAAAGAAAAAGGCAAAUAAAAAUUAUGAGAGAAGAAAGAAACAGAGAAGCAAACAGGGAAAACAACAGAAGAAUGAAAACGAAAGGAUGGAUGAAUUAAAAGGAAGGAAUAAGAGAAAGAAUAAGAGAAAGAAAAUAAAGGAAACGAAAAAGGGAGAGCAGGAAAGAAGCUCCCGAGAAAGCGAGCAAGAAGAGGGCAACGCGUAGAGGAGCGGCGUCGCUUAUACAAGAUGUUGAUGGAAUUUACUAUAUAAAAAAAUCCCCUUUCAAGAAUAAAGUGUAUCAACUUACAGCACAACAAGCGACAGAGGGAUAAGUGAAACAGACAAAAGACAAACAAGAUAAUAAUCUGUUUCCAAUCAGUUAAGCCCUGUAGAAUUUGUAAUACGCGGUUCGCAUAUUCCCCCUGUGUUUUGUAAUUAAUUAUCUAUCUGUUGGGAUGCUCCGCCGACGACUUUGUUGAUAUUUCCAACUAGUUUUGGUGGAGUCGCCGGGGAGCGCGGAACAGCGCGGAGAGCGGGGCCGGGAGCCGAGCCCGAUCCGCGCCCAUCCGCGGGGCUGUGCAGAGCUGUGCGGGGCUCCCGCCGCUCGCGCCCCCCCUCACCCCCUCCCGCUCACCCGGCAAAAGCGGGACAGUACGGUUUUAACAUUAAACAAACCCAGCAAGCAUCUCCUUGCCAGGCCAUAGGCGUUUCUGAGUGACUGCGUUACAAAUUGUAAAUUUAAAUAGCUCACAGGAUUCAUUACCUCCCGCGUCUGAUUUCACCCAGCCGUGAAAAAUUGUCCUGGUGUACCACUGAGAAAGGGUUUGCUGCAAAGAGCCCCGGUCUAAUCACCAGCUUUCUCUCUCCAACAAAAGUGUAAUUAUUUUGUUUUGGGUGUAAAUAUAACCCACGGUACAAAAAAAAAAAAAAAAAAAAAAAAAAAAAAGAAAAAAAAAAAAGAAAAAAAAAAAAGAAAAAAGAAAAAAAAAGAAAAAAAAAGAUAAACCUCCAGCAGCGUCUGAAUGCAUUAAGCAGACGUUUAAAAGGAUCCGUCCUAAAUUAAUACUAAGUUUAAAGGGGGGGAAGGCGGUUGGAACGUGGAAAUUUCCGCGUGCUGCGGGUGGCAGAGGUGCGAGUGCGAAGAGGUGCGCUCCCACCGCCCGACCCCGCGCACAAAGAGCCGCGCAGCCCCGCGCAACGGCGCAGCCCCCUCCCUCCCAUCAGGUCCCCCGCUUUUCCCAUCUCGGUGCCGGGGUGCGGGGCCCCCCCGCCCGGCCCGAGGCUGUUUUGUUGAAAGGUGGAAAGGGGGUGGGGUGGGGAGAGAAAACAAACAAACAAACAAAUCCUCCUCCCCCGCCAAACCGCGAUCCAAAUGAGGGAUCGGGGGAUUUUCUUUCUUUCUUUUUUUUUUUUUUACCCCUCUCUUUUCUGAUUUUUAACGAAUUGAUUAUUUCCUUCCCUCCGAGCUCCAGCCCGGGCUGUCGGAGGAAGGAGAGGCACAAAACGAAAGCCGGCGUCAAGGUUUUAAUAUGAGCACACCUUUGAGGACCCACAAUCCUUAACCAAUGAGGAAAACCCCCAAGGAGCUGGUGGAGACUUCAGCCCUUCCUUCUCCAAAACAUAUCUUCACAAAUCAGAACUGGCCAAUUAAAUACCACUGCUAUGAGGAAACUACUGUGGGAGUGAGAUAUGCUCAGAGGUUGGCUCCAAACUGGGAGAUGCUGAACACCACUGAGAUGGGAGAGACCAGGGCAGGAUUGAGACCCUUGGCUCACUGUUGACCUCUGCCAUCAGCAAAGAAGAAAAAUGAGGGAAGCAAACGGGCACUUGCCUUGGCAACAAGAAGAAAAGCACUUGUGACACUCCUGUCUGGGGGAGAAGUGACUCUGCUGGAGCAUUUCACAGAAUCAGUCACAGAAUCGGAGAACUGUAGGGGUUGGAAGGGGCCCCAAGAGACUGUUUUAUACAACUGCUAAAGCAGGUUUCCUACAAUAAUCCACACUGGGUGCCACCUUACAGUUGCUGGAUAGGAGGCUGAUGGUGAUGCUGGUGAGAUGCCAGUCCUCCACCUCAUCGCAAAGCUGAUCUGGAAACUAGUGGAGUUUUGGUUUUCAGCCUUGCGGUACACAAAGUGGGACCUGAAGGGAGGGCACCUCUGCAGAGGCUCUUGCUGAAGGUCAGCUGGUGAGCCUCCAAGAAACAGGACAGAAUUCUGGGUACCAAGGCAUGGAGAGCAUGCAAGAAUAGGAGAGAUGGGAUGUGGAGGGAAGAUGCAGGUCCUAUCAAGGGCGUGUAUAGGGGGCACCGUGCCCUGUCCAAAUGCCCUACAUACACCUCUCUGGCUUGACCAGGCAGGGUCCCUCUCUGGAGGCUUGUGCUCCGACCUCCUUGAGCCCCAGGUGUAGACAGGGCUCAAAAAGUGUCUUUGAGUUACCUGCAUGUUGCUCACCUGCGGGGUACAGCCCCGUAGCACUUCUGAUUUGGAAUGCAAUUCUCAUGCUGAAGGCAGGAACGUAGGGAAGAAGGAGGAGAGAACAGGGUGGCCAGUUGCUGACCUACUUCUGAAGGAGCUGAUAAACCACCACUGCAUUUCCCUGCCUUGCAAUGGCUGCAGUGCUCCAGACAGAAAUGUUGUCAUACCCCUGCAGGUAUGCUCUCCCAGUAGCUCCUAAACCCAGCUAAAAUAGAUCACGCUGCAAGAUUUAAUGACUCAGCAUUUCUGCUGCUGCUGAUUUACUGACUGAUGCUCAAUUUUUUAUCAGCAGAAGAACUGCUUGGCCAUCAGGAUUGGCAAGUGGCUGUGAAGGGAAUUAAAUAACAAUAUUUUGGGGAUGCAAAGAUGGAUAGGUUGGGUGCAGCAGCACAGCCAUCCAGGCAGUGAAGUAAAGGCCAAGAUAGGAACUAAAAUAAGGAGGGAGUCUCCACCUGCUUCUGCAGUCUGCCAACACUAACACAUGUGCCCAUGUUUUCUGUUAAUUAAUUCUGUUAAUUCUCUUAAUAAUAUUUUAAAUUUCUCCUUGCCAGAAUCACCUGUUUGACUGGGGGAUGCAAGUGAUGUGUCAGUCACGUAUGAUGUUUGUAUGAUGGGUAACCACAUCCUUACACAAGCAGUGCAGAGCAAAACCAUUCCAGAGGGAUGUGCAGAGGAGGGAUGAGCAUCACCAUCCCCAGGUGAUGACGAGGAUGAUGCUGAGCCUGGAGAACUUGAGAGCAGCAGGAGAUACUGCUGGGGGAGGCACAAAUGUGCUGAGAGGAGGCUUUGCAGAGGGGCUGUGAGCAGCUGAAAGACACACAAGCAGAGGGAACAGCCAGAAAGAGCCCAGGCACAGCUGGAACUGCAGCUCCCUCUGACCUGGCCCAGGUGAGAAGAGCUCGAAUGGGCUGGGGGACAAAAUGAGGGAAAAAAACAAGAGAAUAAAAUGGCACAUGUCCAAAAACAAGGACACCUCUGGAGAUGGCACAGAGCUGCUCUGUGAUGAUGACUGAAAACUUCAAGGAAUAACAACUGUAAACCAGCGAAGCGCACUGAGGGUGCUGGAAGUGGAACCUAAUUGAGAGACAAAACCGGGAAUGGAUGGGUGGCCCUGCCCAGCACUCUGGGCACUGUGGGGUUCCUGUGUCACAACCCUUCCCCUGCCCUCACUUGCUGGCUCGUCUCACCUUCCUCUGGGCCUUCAAGGCUCUGCUUCAGCAGCAAAGUCCUGUGGGGUGUGGAUACCCCAGUUCUUUGUUCUCGGGACUAGAUUUGGGGGUGAGGCAUGGGGACAGGGGACCUCACUGUCUGAUCACUGUCUGCUCCUCCUGCUGUGGAUGUGGGGAAAACUAAUGAGUUAAUGCUGAUAAAGUGCUUUCAGGUAAUCAGAUAACCGUGUCAUAAAAGUGUUUUGCAGUGAUGAUGGUGUGCUUUGUGGUGAGGAGAAAGUGAUGAUCCCAAAUAAAAUGCCCAUAUUAAGCCACAGAAAAGUACAAAGG
ensembl:lncRNA